rnacentral:rRNA from 1 species
UGCAAGUCGAGCGGGAGGGGCAGCAAUGCCCUGAGAGCGGCGCACGGGUGCGUAACGCGUAUGCAACCUGCCUUAUACAAAGGGAUAGCCCAUGGAAACGUGGAUUAAUAUCUUAUAGGACUUAAGAAUCGCAUGGUUUUUAAGUUAAAACUACGGCGGUAUAAGAUGGGCAUGCGUCUGAUUAGGUAGUUGGUAGGGUAACGGCCUACCAAGCCGACGAUCAGUAGGGGUUCUGAGAGGAUUACCCCCCACACUGGUACUGAGACACGGACCAGACUCCUACGGGAGGCAGCAGUGAGGAAUAUUGGUCAAUGGGCGAGAGCCUGAACCAGCCAUCCCGCGUGCAGGAUGACGGCCCUAUGGGUUGUAAACUGCUUUUCUGCCCCAAGAAACCUGAUUACGAGUAAUCAGUUGACGGUAGGGCAGGAAUAAGCAUCGGCUAACUCCGUGCCAGCAGCCGCGGUAAUACGGAGGAUGCAAGCGUUAUCCGGAUUCAUUGGGUUUAAAGGGUGCGCAGGUUGGGAUGUAAGUCAGUGGUGAAAUACUGCCGCUUAACGGUAGAGCUGCCAUUGAUACUGCGUUUCUUGAGUAUGGUUGAGGUAGGUGGAAUGUGUUGUGUAGCGGUGAAAUGCAUAGAUAUGACACAGAACGCCGAUUGCGAACGCAACUUACUAAGCCAUUACUGACGCUGAGGCACGAAAGCGUGGGUAGCGAACAGGAUUAGAUACCCUGGUAGUCCACGCCGUAAACGAUGUUCACUCGCUGUUUGCGAUACACAGUAAGCGGCUGAGCGAAAGCAUUAAAGUGAACCACCUGGGGAGUACGAUCGCAAGGUUGAAACUCAAGGAAUUUGACGGGGG